rnacentral:snRNA from 1 species
GGAUGUGAGGGCAAUCUGGUUGCCACAGCUGUCACCCUACUGAUCACCAGGAUUGAUUCAGCUGAUCUGGCUGGCUAGGCGGGUGUCCCCUUCCUCCAUGUGCUGUACUCGGUUGAACAGGACAACCUUCCCCGACAGAAGGAGGACCAUCCUUCUGCCAAGGGUACACAAGUAGUUGUGCCCCCUUGCUGGAACCUCCAAAUAAGCUCUCAAGAGAAUGACAAGAGGCAGCUCAAAGUAAGCAUUACAAUAAAUGUGCAAAGACCUGGAGUU